CCUACGGGUGGCUGCAGUCGAGGAUCUUCGGCAAUGAGCGCAAGCUUGACCGAGCGACGCCGCGUGGGCGAUGAAGGCCUUCGGGUUGUAAAGCCCUGUCGAGGGGGAGACUAUCCCUGGAGGAAGCACGGGCUAAGUUCGUGCCAGCAGCCGCGGUAAGACGAACCGUGCGAACGUUAUUCGGAAUCACUGGGCUUAAAGGGUGCGUAGGCGGGUUGCCAAGUCUGUGGUGAAAUCCUCCGGCUUAACCGGAGAACUGCCGUGGAUACUGGCGACCUCGAGUGGGGUAGGGGCUUGCGGAACUGUGCGUGGAGCGGUGAAAUGCGUUGAUAUGCACAGGAACUCCGGUGGCGAAGGCGGCGAGCUGGACCCACUGACGCUGAGGCACGAAAGCCAGGGGAGCGAACGGGAUUAGAUACCCUUGUAGUC
rnacentral:rRNA from 1 species